UGGGGAAUUUUGGACAAUGGGGGAAACCCUGAUCCAGCCAUCCCGCGUGUGCGAUGAAGGCCUUCGGGUUGUAAAGCACUUUUGGCAGGAAAGAAACGUCAUGGGUUAAUACCCCGUGAAACUGACGGUACCUGCAGAAUAAGCACCGGCUAACUACGUGCCAGCAGCCGCGGUAAUACGUAGGGUGCAAGCGUUAAUCGGAAUUACUGGGCGUAAAGCGUGCGGAGGCGGUUCGGAAAGAAAGAUGUGAAAUCCCAGAGCUCAACUUUGGAACUGCAUUUUUAACUACCGGGCUAGAGUGUGUCAGAGGGAGGUGGAAUUCCGCGUGUAGCAGUGAAAUGCGUAGAUAUGCGGAGGAACACCGAUGGCGAAGGCAGCCUCCUGGGAUAACACUGACGCUCAUGCACGAAAGCGUGGGGAGCAAACAGG
rnacentral:rRNA from 1 species